AAACUUUCAACAACGGAUCUCUUGGUUCUCGCANCGAUGAAGAACGCAGCGAAAUGCGAUAAGUAGUGUGAAUUGCAGAAUUCAGUGAAUCAUCGAAUCUUUGAACGCACAUUGCGCCCUCUGGCAUUCCGGAGGGCAUGCCUGUCCGAGCGUCAUU
rnacentral:rRNA from 1 species